AUGUGGGGAGCUUUCCUUCUCUAUGUUUCCAUGAAGAUGGGAGGCACUGCAGGACAAAGCCUUGAGCAGCCCUCUGAAGUGACAGCUGUGGAAGGAGCCAUUGUCCAGAUAAACUGCACGUACCAGACAUCUGGGUUUUAUGGGCUGUCCUGGUACCAGCAACAUGAUGGCGGAGCACCCACAUUUCUUUCUUACAAUGCUCUGGAUGGUUUGGAGGAGACAGGUCGUUUUUCUUCAUUCCUUAGUCGCUCUGAUAGUUAUGGUUACCUCCUUCUACAGGAGCUCCAGAUGAAAGACUCUGCCUCUUACUUCUGCGCUGUGAGAGA